rnacentral:rRNA from 1 species
GAGUUUGAUCUUGGCUCAGACUGAACGCUGGCGGCAUGCCUUACACAUGCAAGUCGAACGGCAGCACGGGAGCUUGCUCCUGGUGGCGAGUGGCGAACGGGUGAGUAAUGCAUCGGAACGUAUCCUGGAGUGGGGGAUAACGUAGCGAAAGUUACGCUAAUACCGCAUAUUCUGUGAGCAGGAAAGCGGGGGACCUUCGGGCCUCGCGCUCUUGGAGCGGCCGAUGUCGGAUUAGCUAGUUGGUGAGGUAAAGGCUCACCAAGGCGACGAUCCGUAGCAGGUCUGAGAGGAUGAUCUGCCACACUGGAACUGAGACACGGUCCAGACUCCUACGGGAGGCAGCAGUGGGGAAUUUUGGACAAUGGGGGCAACCCUGAUCCAGCCAUGCCGCGUGAGUGAAGAAGGCCUCGGUU